AAUCAAAAUCUAAAGAAAAU
rnacentral:miRNA from 1 species